rnacentral:tRNA from 1 species
GGGCCUGUAGCUCAGUUGGUUAGUAGCAGUGGACUCAUAAUCCAUUGGUCGAAGGUUCAAGUCCUUCCGGGCCCACCA